AGAGUUUGAUCCUGGCUCAGGGCGAACGCUAGCGGCGCGCCUAACACAUGCAAGUCGUGCGGGAAAGGGCUUCGGCCCUAGUACCGCGGCAGACGGGUGAGUAACACGUGAGCAACCUGUCCCCGGGUCUGGGAUAACCACCCGAAAGGGUGGCUAAUACCGGAUAAAGUCACCGGGCGCAAGCUCGGUGAUGAAAGGGGGCCUCUGCAUAGCAAGCUCCUGCCUGGGGAGGGGCUCGCGGCCCAUCAGCUAGUUGGUGGGGUAACGGCCCACCAAGGCUAUGACGGGUAGCCGGCCUGAGAGGGUGGUCGGCCACACGGGCACUGAGACACGGGCCCGACUCCUACGGGAGGCAGCAGUGGGGAAUCUUGGGCAAUGGGCGAAAGCCUGACCCAGCGACGCCGCGUGGGGGAAGAAGGCCUUCGGGUCGUAAACCCCUGUUCUGGGGGAAGAACCCUGAACGGGUUAAUAGCCCGUUCAGGCUGACGGUACCCCAGGAGAAAGCCACGGCUAACUGCGCGCCAGCAGCCGCGGUAAUACGCAGGUGGCGAGCGUUGCCCGGAAUCACUGGGCGUAAAGGGUGCGUAGGCGGCAGGGCAAGUCGCGGGUUAAAGCCCGGGGCUCAACCCCGGAAAGGCCUGCGAUACUGCCUUGCUUGAGGGCCGGAGAGGCUGGCGGAAUUCCCGGUGUAGGGGUGAAAUCCGUAGAUAUCGGGAGGAACACCGGUGGGGAAGCCGGCCAGCUGGACGGUUCCUGACGCUGAGGCACAAAAGCGUGGGGAGCAAACCGGAUUAGAUACCCGGGUAGUCCACGCCGUAAACGAUGGGUGCUAGGUCUGGGGAGGAAACUCUCUGGGCCGAAGCUAACGCGUUAAGCACCCCGCCUGGGGAGUACGGCCGCAAGGCUGAAACUCAAAGGAAUUGACGGGGGCCCGCACAAGCGGUGGAGCACGUGGUUUAAUUCGAUGCAAAGCGAAGAACCUUACCUGGGCUUGACAUGCCAGGGUUGUACCCCGGUGGAAACACUGGGGGAGCGUGGGUUUUUACUCACGCGCUCUGGCACAGGUGCUGCAUGGCUGUCGUCAGCUCGUGCCGUGAGGUGUUGGGUUAAGUCCCGCAACGAGCGCAACCC
rnacentral:rRNA from 1 species